rnacentral:RNase_MRP_RNA from 17 species
CGGGAUGAUUUGCAUCGGAGGUCACACACGGAAUGAAGCUUUGCUGUCAUUCAAAUUCUUCCUCUGGGGAAAGUCCCCGGACACUGCGGCAGAGAGUGCCAGCCCUAAGGGCCAGUCCCUCCUCCAUCCGAGUUUUGGCGAAGAAGGCGACAGCCUGAGCUGCAUGGCGAGGGCGGUGGAGACGAUUGUCAGAGCAUAGUUAUGCAAAUGGCGAGCCACACUGUGGAAACGCUAACUCAACGGGGCUUACCUUCU